UAAAGAUGUGCUGAAGUCCUUCUUAAGUGGGUCAAAAACUAAUUUGAGUGGUUUUCUAGGGUGUUACUAGAAUGUUGAAGGUAGUUGCUAGGGUGUUACUAGAGUGUUGAAGGUAGUUGCUAGGGUGUUACUAGAGUGUUGUAGGUGGUUGCUAGGGUGUUACUAGAGUGUUGCAGGUGGUUGCUAGGGUGUUACUGUGCUAGGGUGUUAGUAGAGUGUUGUAGGUAGUUGCUAGGGUGUUACUAGAGGGUUGUAGGUAGUUGCUAGGGUGUUACUGUGCUAGGGUGUUACUAGAGUAUUGUCGGUGGUUGCAAGGGUGUUACUAGAGUGUUGUAGGUGGUUGCUAGGGUGUUACUGUACUAGGGUGUUACUAGAGUGUUGUAGGUAGUUAAUAGGGUGUUACUAGAGUGUUGUAGGUGGUUGCUUGGGUGGUUGCUAGGGUGUUACUAGAGUGUUGUAGGUGGUUGCUAAGGUAUUACUUGAGUGUUGUUAAUGGUUGCUAGGGUGUUACUAGAGUGUUGUAGGUGGUUGCUAGGGUGUUACUGUGCUAGGGUGUUACUAGAGUGUUGUAUGUGGUUGCUAGGGCAUGGCUAGAGUGUUGUAGGUGGUUGCUAGAGUGUUACUAGAGUGUUGUAGGCGGUUGCUAUGGUGUUACUAGGGUGUCGUAGAUGGUUGCUAGGGUGUUACUAUGCUAAGGUGUCACUAGAGUGUUGUAGGUGGUUGCUAGGGCAUUACUGGGUGAUUACCCCAGUGUUUUU
ensembl:lncRNA